CAGUAGCCGCGGUAAUACGUAGGGAGCAAGCGUUGUUCGGAUUUACUGGGCGUAAAGGGCGCGUAGGCGGCGCGGUAAGUCACUUGUGAAAUCUCUGAGCUUAACUCAGAACGGCCAAGUGAUACUGCUGUGCUAGAGUGCGGAAGAGGCAACCGGAAUUCUUGGUGUAGCGGUGAAAUGCGUAGAUAUCAAGAGGAACACCUGAGGCGAAGGCGACUAUCUGGGCCAACACUGACACUGAGGCACGAAGGCGUGGGGAGCAAACAGGAUUAGAUACCCGUGUAGUCCCUGUCUCUUAUAC
rnacentral:rRNA from 1 species